CCUCUCCUAGAAAAGAAAUUAAACACUUGACAUUGUUACUGUGUUGAUAGGACACCAUGAUUCCAUAAAUACGAUGAUGCAAGGGGAAGGAGAAGUGGAAAACAUUCCGCACUGUACGAUGUUGUUCCUUCACCGCCGUCUAUGCACCACCGCCACCAGAACAAAGGUUCCUUCAAAGUACAAGAACCUUGCUCUCUCUCAAGCCCAGAAGAUCCUCACUGAUUACCUUCAUUCCACAAGGUCCAUCCCUUAUGCCUUUGCUGAUCAGAUUGCUGCUAAUUCUCACACUUCUAUCUCUAACCUCAUUGCAAAGGUGGGAUUUUCAGCUCCGUCUUUCUCCCACACCCUCAACAAGUUCCUCAGGUACAACCCCAUCAAUGAAUUUGAGUUCUUUUUUGAAAGCAUUGGCAUAAAGUAUAGUCAAGUUCCUAACUUGUUGCCACCCCAUAAGUUUUUCUUCUCUGAAGAUGGCUCUAUUUUAGAUGCUGCUUGUGUGCUCUAUGAAUUUGGGUUCCCUUGGGAUAAGCUUGGUUUGCUUUAUGUGGAACGUUGUUCUGUGUUUAGGUGUAAUACUGAUGAGUUGAAGGGCAGGCUGUGUGUGCUGAAAAGUUAUGGUUUUUGCAGUGUUCAGGUCAUUGGGAUAUGUUUGGCUUUCCCUUUUGUUUUUGGUGAGCAGGGAGGAGUGUUGGAAGCUGAGAUUGAUGGGCUACUUGCUGAUCUCAGGUUGGUUUUUCUGGAUUUUGAUUUGGCAGGGUUUGUUGAGGGGAAUGCAGAUUCUUGGUACGAGGUAUGUAGGAAAAUUCGGGUUUUUUACAAUUUGAAUAGUGAGAAGGGUAAGAUGGGGGAACUCAUUGGAAGGUAUAAGAAUGUGAUUCUUGAGCAUGGAGAAGAGGAGUUGAUGCAGAAAGCUGAGUAUUUUUCUAGGUUUGGUGUCAAGAAGGAGGAAGUAGCUCGAUUGAUCCUACAUGACUCGGAAUUGUUGAAUUUUGAUUUCGAAACGCCGGUGAUCAAUGUAUUGAAGCUGUUGAAACACUUUGGCAUGAGCUCCAAGGAUCUCGAGGAUGUGCAGCGAAACUAUGCUCAUGCAUUGGGAACAAUAAAAAUGGUUAAUUUGCCUAAUGUAAUGAGGGCUUUGGGUUUAAGUAAGUGGUUCUUUAAUAGGAUAAAGGACGGGACGCAUCAACUCUUACUGACUUAUGUCACAAGCUUUCCCAAUGAAGACCAAGAUAAAGGAUAUCAAGAUGGUUUAAAGGCGAUUCGUGCUUCGAGAACCCCAGUUCACACCAUGAAUAAACUGAAUUUCUUGCAUGCCUUAGGCUUUGGAGAAACUGCUUUGACCAUGGCUAUCCUAACUUACUUGAAUGGGACUAGCAGCGAGUUACAGGAACGAUUCGAUUGCCUUCUUCAUUUAGGGAUUGAAUUCUCAAAGCUCUCAAAGAUAGUUGCAAUUCGACCUAAGGUUCUAAGCCAACACCCGAAAAUCAUUGAGAAAAAGAUUAAGUUCCUCUAUGAGGAAAUGGGAUCCUCUGUGGAGCUUUUGGACACUUUUCCAGCAUUCUUAUGUUUUGACUUGGAAAAGCGCAUUAAACCUAGGUUCAGAUUCUAUAUGUGGAUGAUAGAAAAGGGUUAUUGUGCCAAAAACUUCUCUAUAGCAACCAUGAUUGCGACCAGCGACAAGAACUUUGUUCCUCAUGCUUUUCGUAUCCACCCAGCUGCUCCGAAACAUUGGUUUGAGCAAUUCUAUCUCCGCAAAUUGCCGGAAUGAUGAAUCUGUACAGAUUCUUAAUACUUGGUUAUAAUUCUUCUUCUGGAGUUGAAGACAAAAACAUUUGAGAUAUUGCUAGAAAACUUGUUACAGAGAUGCAUUUCCUUUGCAGUGGCAGUGAGAUAGACAUCAAGAACAACCUGCAAGUAUCUUGCAUAGUUCUUACUGACAUCCUAUCUCGGAUUUGAGAUAAAGAAACCAUGAAUUCUGUGCACCUUUAGUCAUGCUUCUACAAAGUGAUUAUGUUAGAGGGAGCUAUCAAGACUGGGAAUGGCUUCCUAAACCAUUGAUGUUGGUGCUUGUGGAAGGUGAUGGAGUUGAGAUCAAAUCUUUUCAUUUGAUGGUUAUGGCCCCCAAAAGUAAAAGAAACCUUGUAACUGUGAAUCUGUGAUCAUUCCUGAAAGAAAACAAGCUACCAAGUUCUUCACAAAGUGCAAGCAUUGAUAAUUUGAUAGGAUUGCAAGUAACACUAGGUGGAUCAUUAUGAAUUUAUGGGGUAACUAGAUCAAUUGAGCACUUGUAUAAGGGGCAAAGUAAUUGGCCUACAUUCUCAUCAUUAACCAAAUGUUUCAUUAUCAAGAGAGAAGCAAGAAAUGUAAGUUGAGCAAUUAUUAUUUUUUUUUUCUGGGCUUCUAUUUGUUGAGGUUGUUCAUCAUAUGGCAAUAUGGAAACUGUUAUAUUAACCACAAAUUUGAUACUAAAGUUUU